GCAUCACAUGGCUCAGUCGGUAGAGCAUGGGACUCUUAAUCUCAGAGUUGUGGAUUCAAGCCCAGGUUGGGCA